rnacentral:rRNA from 1 species
AUUGAACGCUGGCGGCAGGCCUAACACAUGCAAGUCGAGCGAGCGCAGAACGGGUGAGAAAUUUAUGGGGUCUGCCCGUUAGUGGGGGAUAACUACUGGAAACGGUAGCUAAUACCGCAUACUAUCGGAUAACCCAUAUGGGAUUAGCUAGUAGGUCAGGUAAUGGCUCACCUAGGCGACGAUCCCUAGCUGGUCUGAGAGGAUGCUCAGCCACACUGGGGCUGAGACACGGCCCAGGCUCCUCCGGAGGCAGCAGUGGGGAAUAUUGAACAAUGGGCGCAAGCAUGAUGCAGACAUGCCGCGUGUAUGAAGAAGGCCCUAGGGUUGUAAAGUACUUUCAGUCGGGAGGCGUUACCGACAGAGGAAGCACCGGCUAACUCCGUGCCAGCAGCCGCGGUAAUAC